rnacentral:rRNA from 1 species
GGGGAAUAUUGCACAAUGGGCGAAAGCCUGAUGCAGCAACGCCGCGUGAACGAUGAAGGUCUUCGGAUCGUAAAGUUCUGUCGCAGGGGAAGAUAAUGACGGUACCCUGUGAGGAAGCACCGGCUAACUACGUGCCAGCAGCCGCGGUAAUACGUAGGGUGCUAGCGUUAUCCGGAUUUACUGGGCGUAAAGGGUGCGUAGGUGGUCUUUCAAGUCGGUGGUUAAAGGCUACGGCUCAACCGUAUUAAGCCGCCGAAACUGGAAGACUUGAGUGCAGGAGAGGAAAGUGGAAUUCUCAGUGUAGCGGUGAAAUGCGUAGAUAUUGAGAAGAACACCAGUAGCGAAGGCGGCUUUCUGGACUGUAACUGACACUGAGGCACGAAAGCGUGGGUAGCAAAC